GACGAACGCUGGCGGCGUGCCUAAUACAUGCAAGUAGGACGCAGUUGCGCACGGGUGAGUAACGCGUAGGUAACUACCUAUUAGAGGGGGAUAACUAUUGGAGACGCUAGCUAAUACCGCAUACUAGUAGAUGGACCUGCGUUGGAUUAGCUAGUAGGUAGGGUAAUGGCCUACCUAGGCAACGAUUCAUAGCCGACCUGGGAGGGUGAACCGCCACACUGGGACUGGGACACGGCCCAGACUCCUCCGGGGGGCAACAGUAGGGAAUCUUCGGCAAUUGGGGGAACCCUGACCGAGCAACGCCGCGGGGGGGAAGGAGGUUUUCGGAUCGUAAAGCUCUGUUGUUAAGGAAGCGGUACUUAACCAGAAAGGGACGGCUAACUACGUGCCAGCAGCCGCGGUAAUAC
rnacentral:rRNA from 1 species